rnacentral:rRNA from 1 species
CCUACGGGUGGCUGCAGUGAGGAAUAUUGGUCAAUGGCCGUAAGGCUGAACCAGCCAAGUAGCGUGAGGGAAGACUGCCCUAUGGGUUGUAAACCUCUUUUAUGCGGGGAUAAAGGUGUCCACGUGUGGAUGUUUGCAGGUACCGCAUGAAUAAGGACCGGCUAAUUCCGUGCCAGCAGCCGCGGUAAUACGGAAGGUCCGGGCGUUAUCCGGAUUUAUUGGGUUUAAAGGGAGCGGAGGCCGGUGUUUAAGGGUGCCGUGAAAUUUUGUGGCUCAACCAUUGGAGUGCGGCGGGAAAUGGUGACCUUGAGUGAGCGGGAGGUAGGCGGAAUUCGUGGUGUAGCGGUGAAAUGCUUAGAUAUCACGAAGAACCCCGAUUGCGAAGGCAGCCUGCCGCAGCGUUACUGACGCUGAAGCUCGAAAGCGCGGGUAUCGAACAGGAUUAGAUACCCGAGUAGUC